rnacentral:rRNA from 1 species
GACAGAGGGUGCAAACGUUGUUCGGAAUUACUGGGCGUAAAGCGUGUGUAGGCGGUCCUCUAAGUCGGGUGUGAAAGCCCAGGGCUCAACCCUGGAAGUGCACUCGAAACUGGAAGGCUAGAGUACCGGAGAGGUUGGUGGAAUUCUCGGUGUAGAGGUGAAAUGCGUAGAUAUCAGGAGGAACACCUGUGGCGAAAGCGGCUCACUGGACCACAACUGACGCUGAGGCGCGAAAGCUAGGGGAGCAAACAGG